GCCUCUGUGGAUUGGUGGACAAUUGCCUCUAUCUAAUUCGUUGUGGUCGUCGUCGAAGAGGAUGAUGUGGGUUCGAAUCCCACCAGAGGCA